GCUGUCAUUAAUGUGACUUAACUUGUUUGAAUACAUUUUGAUUGAAUUUGACACUUUGUUAUCUGGAACUGUAGAUAGAUCAUUUUCAUUGGGGAAAGUAGCCUGGCAGAAAAGGACCAGGUGGUACUGGUCAACAGCCAGUUGAACAUGAGAUAGCAAUGUGCCCAGGUGGCCAAGAUGGCCAAGGGCAUCCUGGUCAGUGUCAGAAACAAUGUAAUCAGUAAGACUAUGGAAGUGACUGUCGUCUUGUGCAACACUGGCUACAACCUCACAGGCAUCAAAGAGACGUGGUACCACUUUAGGAAGAACAGGUGACGAGAGGUGUUAGGGAACUCUUAGGUCACGUCCUGAACCAGUGAUUGAGCACCUUGGCAUGGCCAGCCAUAGGAACACAGAUACAAGCAAUUCACCUGUGCACUCAGGGUCAGCUUUUCCCUAACCUCAUUUAAGGAUUGGCAGCCAAGAUGGAAGCAUCACUACUUGGAAAUUGCUUCAUUUGGGGAGUUUUCCAGCAAGCUCUUGUCUUCAGAAAGGAGGCCGGCCCCAUCCCUGUGCUGUUGCCAUGGCCACAUUCUCUCGCGGAGCAUCCUUGAGUGGAGAAGAGUGCUAUCAUGUUGCUUCCCCAGGAGAUUGUCUGUGCACUUUCAACUUCCUCGCGUGAAGUACCAGCAUGCCAGAAGCAUGGUUCUUGGUGGUGCACUCGCUACAACACAGCACUUAAUGAGACUUCAGCAGUAGAAGCUCGCAAACCUGAGCAUGCUCCUCAGCUGCAGCCAGUUUUUGCUCCUCUUUAAGCACUGGGUUUGGAAGCCUUCUUACUUUAAAAAUAAUAUAAUGAUAAUAUAGAAAUGUAUUUCUAAAUGUAUGUACUCCAUAUAUAGCAAUAUCAUGUAACACUUUAUACUGAGGAGGUUGAUUACUUUUGAUUCAGGUUACUCUGGGUUAUGAAAGUUGGGUUCAAAUUUUAGGAGAAAACAACAGCACCUCUGGUCUGGUUCCAGGCUUAUCUCUUCAUAUGCUCAUCUCUUCAGUUUAUUUCACAGCAAUCCCACAAUAUCAGUAGAUAUUCUUAUUUUUGUGAUAAUGGCUUUGGUUUCUCAGUAAAUUAAUCUCUUUGUUAGCUUGUUUGCUGAUAACAUUUUCUAUCAUGUGCAGCUGCUCUGUUUAAGACUGAAAUGAGGAAAAUGUGAUAACCUCACAAAAAAGUAAUGCCAGACUCGGAAGUCCUCUUGCUUUGUCCAGGUUCCAACACUAUAAAGAAUCAAUACAAAAAGAGAAGUAAAGAUGAGAAAGGAAACAAACCUAACUAUGUCCAAAUGCUGUAGCUCUAAAAGAUUCUCUCAAUGCUAAAAUCUGAUUAAAUAGACAGAGGAGAAAAGGUGAUGUAAUGCUCUGAGGCAGGAAAACAUCAAGUGCUCAGAGUUAAAGACUCUGUCCUGCUCCAAAAUGGCAAAGAAAAGCAUGAUCAUUUAAGGUCGAUGCCAUGUGAGGCGUUUUGCUUUAUGCUUCAUUUAAAGUAGUGCUUGGACUCGCAUAAUGAUAGUUUUCUCUGCUGUACUGUUUUCAGAUUUGGUUAACCAAGUGAUGACUUUGAUAAUCAUUGUUAUCUUAAAUAUGGGGAGAUGGGGAAGAGAACAACACCUUACAAAUGCAUGACACCACAAUUGAGUGACAAUGUAUUCUGUGAUGAAGGAUCAGGAGUUUCCUGUCAGAGCAAUCAUGGAAACAGUUUAAAUAGCUAUGGGGGGAGAGGGAGGGAGAGCAAUAUGAUUUUAAUCAUAG